rnacentral:lncRNA from 1 species
UCGCUCCAACUGCCAUCGAUCACCACUCUAUCUAUCCAGGAAAAUUAGCAGCAGAGGAAAAACCGAGUCAACAACAGACCUCUAACCAUCCCUCCCCAAAGAAAUAAGGAUCCCUGUCUUUUUCCUUGAGCCUAAACCUCGCUAUGCUUCAUCCUGACUUGGCGACCCCCUGCCCCAGAAAAUGGCCAAGGGAAACGACGGUCGCGCGUGUCCGCACGCUUGGUUCCGAGUCAUCAUGCAUUUCCAACACUCAGGUGCCAGG